GACGAACGCUGGCGGCGUGCCUAACACAUGCAAGUCGAACGGGGGUAGCAAUACCUCAGUGGCGAACGGGUGCGUAACACGUGAAGAAUUUGUCUAACGGCGGAGGAUAGCCGGCCCAACGGCCGGGUAAUACCGCGUACGACCUCUGGAGGGCAUCCUCUGGUGGUGAAAGCCGCAAGGCGCCGAUAGAGAACUUCGCGGCCUAUCAGCUAGUUGGCGGGGUAAUGGCCCACCAAGGCGACGACGGGUAGCUGGUCCGAGAGGAUGACCAGCCACAUUGGGACUGAGACACGGCCCAGACUCCUACGGGAGGCAGCAGUGGGGAAUAUUGCGCAAUGGGCGAAAGCCUGACGCAGCGACGCCGCGUGUGGGAUGACGGCCUGG
rnacentral:rRNA from 1 species